AUCCAGCUAACGAGUCCCAAAUAGGACGAAAUGCGCAUCAAAUUGGAG
rnacentral:hammerhead_ribozyme from 1 species